rnacentral:rRNA from 1 species
UAACACAUGCAAGUCGAACGAAGCACUUUAAUCGAUUUCUUCGGAUUGAAAUUUUAGUGACUGAGUGGCGGACAGGUGAGUAACGCGUGGGUAACCUGCCUCACACAGGGGGAUAACAGUUGGAAACGGCUGCUAAUACCGCAUAAGCGCACAGUACCGCAUGGUACAGUGUGAAAAACUCCGGUGGUGUGAGAUGGACCCGCGUCUGAUUAGCUAGUUGGCAGGGCAACGGCCUACCAAGGCGACGAUCAGUAGCCGACCUGAGAGGGUGACCGGCCACAUUGGGACUGAGACACGGCCCAAACUCCUACGGGAGGCAGCAGUGGGGAAUAUUGCACAAUGGGGGAAACCCUGAUGCAGCGACGCCGCGUGAGCGAAGAAGUAUUUCGGUAUGUAAAGCUCUAUCAGCAGGGAAGAAGAAAUGACGGUACCUGACUAAGAAGCACCGGCUAAAUACGUGCCAGCAGCCGCGGUAAUACGUAUGGUGCAAGCGUUAUCCGGAUUUACUGGGUGUAAAGGGAGCGCAGGCGGAAGGCUAAGUCUGAUGUGAAAGCCCGGGGCUCAACCCCGGUACUGCAUUGGAAACUGGUCAUCUAGAGUGUCGGAGGGGUAAGUGGAAUUCCUAGUGUAGCGGUGAAAUGCGUAGAUAUUAGGAGGAACACCAGUGGCGAAGGCGGC